AUGAACGCUAGCGGCAGGCCUAACACAUGCAAGUCGAGGGGUAGGCAUCUUCGGAUGUUGAGACCGGCGCACGGGUGCGUAACGCGUAUGCAAUCUACCUUAUACUAAGGGAUAGCCCAGAGAAAUUGGGAUUAAUACCUUAUAGGAUAUCAGAAUGGCAUCAUUUAGAUAUUAAAGAUUAAUUGGUAUAAGAUGAGCAUGCGUCCCAUUAGUUAGUUGGUAAGGUAACGGCUUACCAAGACGAUGAUGGGUAGGGGUCCUGAGAGGGAGAUCCCCCCCACUGGUACUGAGACACGGACCAGCCUCCUACGGGAGGCAGCAGUGCGGAAUAUUGGUCACUGGGCGCAAGCCUGAACCAGCCAUGCCGCGUGCAGGAGGACGCAUCUCUGGUGUGUAAACUGCUUUUGUACAGGAAGAAACAGUUCUUUGCGAAGAACCUUGACGGUACUGUAAGAAUAAGGAUCGGCUCACUCCGU
rnacentral:rRNA from 1 species